AACGAACGCUGGCGGCAUGCCUAACACAUGCAAGUCGAACGAGACCUUCGGGUCUAGUGGCGCACGGGUGCGUAACGCGUGGGAACCUGCCUUUAGGUUCGGAAUAACUCAGAGAAAUUUGAGCUAAUACCGGAUGAUGUCUUCGGACCAAAGAUUUAUCGCCUUUAGAUGGGCCCGCGUUGGAUUAGCUAGUUGGUGGGGUAAAGGCCUACCAAGGCGACGAUCCAUAGCUGGUCUGAGAGGAUGAUCAGCCACACUGGGACUGAGACACGGCCCAGACUCCUACGGGAGGCAGCAGUGAGGAAUAUUGGACAAUGGGCGAAAGCCUGAUCCAGCAAUGCCGCGUGAGUGAUGAAGGCCUUAGGGUUGUAAAGCUCUUUUACCCGAGAUGAUAAUGACAGUAUCGGGAGAAUAAGCGCCGGCUAACUCCGUG
rnacentral:rRNA from 1 species